rnacentral:lncRNA from 1 species
GGGAUUUGACAUGCUUAUAUAUACUGGUAAUUUGAGGGGAUUUGAAAUAUGUACAAGUAGGAUGUUCUCAGUAAAAAAACAUUACAAGUUUUCAAGUGUCACCAGUGUGGGGGGAAAUGUGGCAAGAUCAUUUAUUUUAGCCCGGCAAGAUAUUUUGAAUGAUGUAAAAACUGUCACAAAGUCACGGCUGAAGAAAAAGGUAAAAUAUACUAGAAAACUAGAUGAAUCCCCGCACGUUGCUGCGGGAUAUGUUGUGCUAAAAUUUCUAAUGCAGAGAGAUACGUUGUGUAAAGAAAAAUAGUGAUUUGCAUGUGCGUCAAAGCAUUUCUCUUUUUGUGGGGAAAGCAUAUCUUUCAAAUGAGUGUUAAUGCAAAGGAUUGGAAUGAUGAGUUAAUACAAAAAAAUUCAAAACAACGAAGUCUUUAAGUGACAACAUGAAAAGAGUACAUCAGAUUCAGCAUAUAGCUAAAAGUAAUAAAUUCAGAUGUUGGAUCCAUGUAUGUGCGAUUAUCAUGUUACCUGAGCUAAACAACUAUUCUUAUUCUUGGAGUAACAAAAAUGCAAGUAAUCCAUAACUAUCUUCCAAAACAAAAUAACUAUAGGAGACAAUUUUUUUUGCCACAUACACAAAAACUUGUACAGAAAUGUCACCUAGAUUAACUUAACUUAAAAUCUAGUACCAAUGCAUCAAAGUUGACAAUCACUAACCAGCAACUCUCAAAAACAAACAAAAUGACAUUUUGAGACGUGAACUAAUGGAGAAUAGUAUAGCAAUAGAAUAGGGAAACUCUUACCAUCACCCGGCGGAUCGCGGCGUCCGCGUCCGCCGCCUCCCCUGCCUCACACGUGUCCCAGUGAGAUUCCACACACUAUCCUCUGUCGAACGCGCUUCUGCAACAGAAGCUAUGUUUCCGAAACAUAUAUAGCGUUGCAAUGGUCUAUGACAAGUCUACGUUUUGUAAUAAAAUAUCUCUUAUGAAUUUUUUUCUGCAACAAGACCUCGGUUGAAAAAAAAAUUGUAACAAACAAUCAGUUGCAAAAAAAUGCAACAAAACAAUUGUUGCAGAAAAAUUCUGCAACAAGACCUAUGUUGCAGAAAAAUCCUGCAACAAGACCUAUGUUGCAGAAAUAAUCCUGCAACAAGACCUGUGUUGCAGAAGUAAUCCUGCAACAAGGCCUGGGUUGCAAUAAUGAAGGCACAGAUCACAGAUCUGAUGGCUCGCGACCCGGCUGAUCUUUUCAAAAGAUCAGCCGGCGGACGCCUAGCACGCCCCAAUAGAAUAGGUGAAAAGUCGGAAGAAAGAAAAUUUAUUCCAUCAAGAACUAUGAAUGUGUGUAAUGUAACUUUAAAUAUACUAUGAUCAAGACCUUUGACUUGAAAAAGACAAUGACCAUUAAGUCAGCAUCAGAAAUACUACAUGGAGGUGCUAGGUAAGGAGUUAAUGUCGAGAUUCAUAUCGAGAAUGGCAUUAUAAAGCCCAUCGUUUGUCUCCUCAGAUGCCCAUUAAUUUAUGAGUUUGUAAUGGCUAUUUCAAGCUGCAACACUCACCUCACAUGUUACAUGAGAAGAAGAGAGGAACCGGCCAGUUUGGCCUGGCUGUCCAGGAGGGACUGAGCACAUAAUUACUCGACAUGGUCAAGUAUAUUGCAACAACAUGUCAAGAGGACCACAACACCUCCAAGUCCAGAAACAACAUCGAUGUCCCCACUCAUAAGCAUAACACCGAUAGAAAGGAGCAGCCUAGACGGCUUCCUCCGUAGCUGCAGACCCAGUUCGCCAAAAAACGCUAUCAUUGCCAUGCUAGAAACUCGACCAUGUUGUUGUUAGAAAUUUAGGGUUUGCGGUCUACCCCCUAAUUCCUCUGCGCUUAUCCAUGGUGCCGCUCACAAUUCGCAUAUCUGAGACUAGGGGGUAGGGACCUUCUUAUACUGUCUUUACAAAGAGUCCACCUCUUAUACAGAUAUAAGAUUCCUAGUCUUUUCCACUAGUUUCCGGGAUAGAGUCCAGAUCAAAUAACCAACCACGAUCAUAUUUGUCUGUUAACAGAUUCUACCCGUUAUGUCCCCGGAGCACGCGCCUGUGAGCAAUGCGCCAUAAUAGAGUGUAAAUUCCUCUAAUUAUGUAGAUCAACAUUAGGGUUGUAACCUAACUAUAUGAUCUAGCUCCUUCCAAUCAUCAGUGUACCCGGAUAGUCUUUCCAAUAUAAAUAGUAUAUUGUAUUCCACUGAUAAUCGACCAGCUUCCUUAAGCAUAUAUUACUUAAGUACAUUCCAACAAGUGAUAAUUCCAUGAUAAUCGUCUAAAGCAAUUUCAUGUAUAAAUACAUGUAUAAUUCCAUAAUGAGGUAUUCCGAACGUUAGUAAUUUUCUAGUAAUUUGAAUAUAGUUGCAGGACACAUAAUUCCAACAUCUCCCACUUGUCCAAAAUGAUCAUUCAAUAUUCUUAAACCCAUAGCCUUAACAUGCUUACCAAAUACCUCAUGACUAAUAGGCUUAGUCAAGGGAUCAGCAACCAGGUUAACAAUACGUUGAAAAUCCAAAGAAAUAUAUAGUGAUACCUUCCCUCAGUAUGUUUCCUUGCUGUGACACUUAAGAUCACUAGAGACCUUUAGUUUCCACCUAAUUAUUCCAACAUAGCUGUCCUCGGCGCCUCAAGUAUUCCUCCCUCGAGUGUAAUGCCACCUUUAUAGGCACCUUGAGUAUUUUGUUCCUCAAGUGAAAAUUCUGCAUCAAUUGUUUUCCAUCACAUAUAUUAAUAAUAUGAUUAAUUCCACAUUGAGUCAAAUAGAUGAUAACCAUGUUGAAUACAAUUUCCAAAACCACAUAAUAUCAAAUCCAAUCAGUACAUGAAGUUCCAUAAGCAACCAUGUUUGGAAAGAAAUUCCUGACCUCGGUCAGUGAAUCCACACCAUAUUAGUACUUCACAAAAAAAGGAUAUGCGUACCUGGACUUAUUUAUCAUCUCAUAGAUACAGUAAUAGCUUCCUCAAUGUGUUUACCUUUAAUAUAAAUUUCAAAACAAGUGACAGGUUGUGAUGCACUUUCCACAAUCUUAUAUAAUGUGUGAGAUUCCCUUAGCUGUUCAUCUUUCCUUCCAUUGCUUGAAUGCAACAUAAAUUCCGAAAGCUAAGUUAAUUAUGAUAAUAUAAUGAAGAUACAUACGAAUUCCAGUACCAUUUAUUAUUCCAUUUUUCCUCAGGAGUUCAAAUGUAAUUCCUCACUGAGUAUGAUUCCCUUUAUCAAAGGUAUUUUAACAGAUUUGCAAUUUUCCAUAGAGAAACAUUUCAUAAUAUUUUGUAUGUAUUUCUACUCGUAAAACAUAGGAUGUUUCAAAUGUUCCUUUCAUAUGAAAGUUAAAAGAUGACCAAGCUUUCACUUCCAUCAAUGUGAAUUUAUCAUUGCAAACAACAAAAAACAAUGUUAAUGUAUACAAUAAUAAUGCAAAAUACUUUGCACUUACAUUUGUAGAUGACCGCCUUGCUUCAUUUAGAAAACCAUAUGACCUGCUAUUCCGUUGAUGUGAAGCUUGUUAUAAGACCAUACAUUAAUAUACUCAAUUAGCAAACCAUGUAUUUAGUUCCUCUUUCCCAAAAUUCCAGGAGAGAGAGUUCCCACAAAGUAUAUUUUCCUCUGUGUGAAUAAUUUAAUAACAAGAGUGACAUUAAAUAUUCCAGUGAGCCAAAUAUCCUUACAAAAAAAUCACUUCCAGACAAUAGGCUUGCGGUUAUUUGGUAUGAUAUUAAGUUCCCAAACUAUGCUCUUCCUCAUUUGAGGUUAUUCCUUCCCGCAAUUCUUCCACCCAUAGUUGACAUUGAAAAAAAAACCUUAAGAUCAAUUUAGUGAUUCCUCUAAAAUUUAGAGUGACAUCCCCCAACAAUGCAUAAUAAUUAUCCAGACAUGAUCUUCCAAGCUAAUUCCUCCCAUUUAUUCUAAGCAAGUCAUGUUGGGAGUGUCACUUGUAGUUUCCUUGGGGUAAGAUUAUAUUCCAGUAUGAUUGUCAAUAAUUCCACCAUUGAUCAUAAAAAUUAUUGUGUUCCUACUUUCCACCAGUAUUCCUUUUCCAGAUAACUAAGGAAACACCCUUUGAUCCACUAGAAUAACCAUGAACAUUUCCUGGUGUGCGCUUUGUAAUAACUGGAAAUUUAAUGCCAAAAUAGAAGAUUUCCUUCCAGUCAAGUGACUGUACUAGAUGGAUAAUGAUAUCAACAAAUGACAGUACACAAUGCUUCUUUCCAGGGGAGUAUACAAGACAUUCAAUUCCUCCAUUCAAUUGUGGAGUGUACGGUAUAUUUCAAUGGUGAAUAGUUCCAUGCUCUUUACAUACAAACGAUAUAUUCCUGAAGUGUACUCCCCCCACCAAUCGGUUGUUAAAAUUAUGAUAUUAUUUAAUCAACUAAUUUUCCACAUCAGUAUAACAUGUGACCAGCACAAUAAAACCUUCUGACUUAUAUUUUGAAAAAGUAUAUACAUAACCAUAUCAAGUACAAUCAUUAAUGAAUGCGAUAAAAUAAAUAAUCAGACCUCUAGUGGGGAUGUCCAAAUAAAUACCAUAAGUAUAUCAAAUAGAAACGAUGUGAAGCCUUUUAUCUCCUUCCACCUUAAUAAAAAAAGUAUAUUAAAAAAAUGUGCUUCACAUGUACCAUAGUCCUCCCACUAAAUUUUAAAAUUCCAGAAUCAAUAAGCCUCUUGAUACAGUUCCAAGAUAUGUGACCAAGUCGUUGAUGAUGUAGAUAAUAGAUUCCAAGCAUGUGUUCCCAUUGUCGAUAUUCCUCCAUAUGGAGUUAUCUUCCCCAAAUAACAAUUUGGGUUGGUGACUUCCAAUGGACCAUCAAGAAAGAAUAAACCAUUGUGUGAAAUUCCGUAAUGCACUAAUUUUAUUAUUGAGCAAUAUUUCCACUCUUCCUUUUCCAAAUAGUAUAAGAUAGUCAAUAAAUUCCAAGAUAGAACAAUAAACCAAAUCCCUUCUCACUGAAGUUGCACAUAGUGUCCUAUAACAAUAAUAGUUUUCCUCCACAAGGGAGUUUCAUGGCAUAAUUUCCAAUCCAAAGUACAUCAAUUUUCCUUUGAAAUUGUUGCAUGACAAUAAAGUUGCCCGUUAAGUGCGAGCAAAUUUCCUUUUCCAUGGAGUGGUUCCCAUCUUCCUCCAUAAAUAAGUGAUGUUUCAUAAUAGGCACUUCCUCUUAGCCAAUUCUAUUAGCAAAAAAUAUAUCUUCCUCUUCAAGGUGUAGUCAACCAUAAUUGGUCAUAUCAUUCCCUCAAAGAUUUUCAUGUCUUCCUCCAUAGAACAAAUAAUAUCCCAUAUUGGAUAGAUUGAAUAACCACUCACGAUGACAAGUGUAUAUAAAAUUAUUCCAACCAUUUUGGCAUAUAGUUUAUGACAACUAUGACUUGCACUAAGAAACCAACUAUCUAUAAUUUCUGAGAGAUAUUCCGCCCAAAAAGAAGGUGUUUCCGAUUGCACAUUAUUUUCCAUGCAAUGUAAUCACUCUCAUAUUGAAUAGUAAAAAAAGAACCAAUUGAAUAACCCCAAAUAAUUAUGCAAGUCAUAGGUUAUCCAUAUUCCAGGUGUCACAUUAUAUAUUUCCUUUUCCAUAACAAUGACAUUUUAAUUUUGCCUUUCCGGUUUGUUCUGUUAAAUAAUGUGAACAACAUUCACCGUAGAAUAUAUAACCAUUAUUAUCUAUUUCCAAACCGUGAUAAUAGAGUCACGUAAUCAUAAUUUCCAUGCUCUAAGUAACAAAGAGAAAAAUACCGUUGGGUGUCAUUAUUGAGAAAAAAAGUGUUACCGAUCUAAUCCGUAGACUUCAGAAAUCAACUGAAUAAAUGACGUGAGCACGUCUCUGUAAUCCUUCCUCGGUCCACUUGAAUUGCUUAUUGAUGGGCAAAAGUAGUACUUAAUCUGCAAGUAGUACUAUUCCUCGAUCGCUCAAAAGUCAGAACCUCUAGCAAUCUGUGUUUCCUUGCGUUCUCAGUUUGGUGAAGUAUCAACUUGCAUGGCUUCUCGUCUGUUGAACCCGAACGAGAGAAUAAACGUAGACUGUCUUCCGUAUUCGCGAGUUAUCACUUGCGGCCCUCCAUUGUGAGUUUGCUAGUACAAUCAGAAGCAAGCAAAAAAUUGUUCCUCAAUCCACGUGAGCAGAAGUUGGGCAUGUCCAUUGCUUUCCAGGAUCCCUCCAUCUAUGUGCAAUAGGAAAUUAUCUCACAGGGAGUGACAUAUUUAAUCUUGUAUAGUUGUCCCUGCACGACUGUUACAUGAUGCUGAGUAAAUCUUUGACCUCCAUACCCGAUUAAAUUAAUAACAAAAUCCAUUAACGAUUUCCGGCAGGGAAUCUUGCCGUGCUUCUGAUCGCACACGCAGACGUAUCGAUCUGCUCCUACUUGGUAGUAGCAUAGUACUCCUAUCUCUCCGAUCGAAUGCAAAUGUACGCAAUACAAGAACGUGGGACUCGGCAGCGGCGCAUGAGUAUUACAGACGAUGAAAAAACAGACUGCGCCACGGGAGUACGACACGGCAGCGGGUUGGCAGGAUCAAGCUAAGCACCAGGAAAGCGGCGGCGACGGGUCGAUCUGAAAGAGGCUACUACGCUGCAGAUGAGCGACAUACCAAGUCGGCAGAGUUACGCAGCGGAUCAGCAAUUGUUCCGGUUAUAGCCGGAUCACCCGUCGGACGAACCUUGCUCUUGAUGCCAAUGUUAGAAAUUUAGGGUUUGCGGUCUACCUCCUAAUUUCUCUGUGUUUAUCCGUGGUGCCGGUCACAAUUCGCAUAUCUGAGGCAAGGGGAUAGGGACCUUCUUAUACUGUCUUUACAAAGAGUCCACCUCUUAUACAGAUAUAAGAUUCCUAGUCUUUUUCACUAGUUUCCGGGAUAGAGUCCAGAUCAAAUAACCAAUCACGAUCAUAUUUGUCUGUUAACGGAUUCUACCCGUUAUGUCCCCGGAGCACGCGUUUGUGAGCAACCGCCAUAAUAGAGUGUAAAUUCCUCUAAUUACGUAGAUCAACAUUAGGGCUGUAACCUAACUAUAUGAUCUAGCUCCUUCCAAUCAUCAGUGUACCCGGAUAGUCUUUUCAAUAUAAAUAGUAUAUUGUAUUCCAAUGAUAAUCGACCAGCUUCCUUAAGCAUAUAUUACUUAAAUACAUUUCAACAAGUGAUAAUUCCAUGAUAAUCAUCUAAAGCAAUUUCAUGUAUAAAUACAUGUAUAAUUCCAUAAUGAGGUAUUCCGAACAUUAGUAAUUUUCUAGUAAUUUGAAUAUAAUUGCAGGACACAUAAUUCCAACAGUUGUAUCUUCCUCAUUUAGUCCUCAAAGCUGAACUGCAGCUCCGGCACCUCUAUUAAGAGACUAUAGUGUUCAUAAUUUUUGUCCUGCAAAAAAAAAAUCAUAAUUUCUAGAACGCUAUUCAGUUUUGCUGAUCUGCCAUCGACCAAACAAAAGAAACUAAACCUACAUGGAACACUUACACAUACGUUAGUAUAGAGGAACUAUUGUGGGAUUUGAAUUAAAAAGGAAGCGAGCCAUCAUGAUAUGUAGUUUUCUAGUAUAUUCUAAUGUGGGAGUAUGUAUAUCAACUCAGAAACAUAAAAUUUGCAUGUACCUUCAGACUGUAGCAUGUGUGCGAAUUAACCUUCAGUAAGAAAAUAAGAAGUGGAAAAACGUUUCAGAGUUGGACAGCACCAAGUAACACAUCACUUUGAAAUUGGUUGAGUUAUUUUAUUUACCACCUAGGACGUAAUGCUUAUAAUCAGUCCACCUAAAGCAUGAAACAUGACAGUGACCAGAAGCACGAAAGAAGGCAGUCUUCAGUACGCUGUUUAGAAAGCAGCAAGAUAAUUAUGAUGGCUUGUGUAUACAUCAAUAUAUUUAACUCAGUCCACCUGAAGCAUGAAAAAAAACAGUGAACUGAAGCACGAAAGAAGAUAGUCUUCCUUGUGUAUACAUCAAGAUAUUUAACAAAAAAUAGAUUGAGAGAGUCUACUUACAGAUAGUGGCACAUAGAGCUAUUCAACGGGAACAAAUUACUUGGUAAUGUAAUACUUGACCAAUGAAUACGUGCCCAUGCAUAAAUUCCAUUGGACAUACUUGAAUAAGACAAAUGCCCAACACAGCCGAGAUGAUACCCCUGCCAGUAUGCAAGGAACAUGUCGUAAAGCUGCUGCAAGUAGUGCAGAUGUUGUAUAUCAUGAUGCGCGACAAAUAUAGAAAAACAGGGGGCGGAAACCCUAGAUCAACACCUGAUUAGAACAAAUCGGGCCUAGUACAAAUAGAGAAAAAUAGGGGAAACCUAGAUCAGCACUGGAUUAGAACGAAUCGGUCCGAGCCGAGGCAUGUCCGGAGAGAGGAGGCAACGGAGUCGACUUACGUGUCUUCCUCCUUUAGUCCUUGGAGCUGAACAGCGGCUCUGGCUUGCUCUCGACGAUGUUGAUGAGAUUAUUGAUGCACCAGCUAGCCUCUAGAUCGAUCUUCUUGAGAUCCGGUCGCUGCUCCACCGUCGCCAUCGUACCCGCCGGUUUUGCCCCGGGACGGCCGCCGCAAACCCUAGAGGAGGGACGACCACCGCAAACCCUAUAGCAGGCUGGCUUCUCUUGCGUUCGUCGCUUUGCCGGGUUUUUUUUGAGGGCAAGCAAAGAGCUUUAUUAUGAAACGUGUUGGGCAAGAUCGCCCAUUACAAACUCAGCAACAUUUGCUGGGAGUACAUGAUCAGCAACUAGAAUAUCACCCACUUGAUGGGAGAGGCCUAAUCAGGCCAUAUGAUGCGCUGGCAUAUUAGCCUCGCGCUUACAAUGGGCAAACACACAAGUGGAGAACCAAAGCCUGGACUGCACCUUAAUGUCUUCAAUCGCCUGCGCUUGACGCGAACAAUCAGGGGCGCGUCUGUUUAGAGCCUGUUCCAGCAUUAGAGCGUCCAUCUCCACAGUCAACCGCACGACCCCCAGUUCAGCCGCAAGAUCCAAAGCUUGCUCCACUGCACGUAACUCGGUGCUGAACGCAUCAGCGACAUGAUCAAUCCGUCCCGCCCGCGCAGCCACAACCUCGCCUGUGCUAUCCCGAACAACCACUCCCCAGGCUCCCUGCCCCCUUCCUCGACAAACGCACCAUCGACAUUGAAUUUUAGUAUGUCCUGUGGGGGCGGGAUCCAACGUGGGGUGCAUGCCGGCGACGGGUCCAUUUUGCGAAAGCACACCUGGAAUUCUUCGGCCGUGCAUGCAGCUCUAAUAGCGAACUGAGCGUGCUCCAUUGGUUUCUCUCCCUCCCUAACCUUGUUGCGUUGAGUCCACCACUGCCACCACAUGACAAUGAUAAUCAUCUGGUCCUUUUCGACGAGCUGCCACAAAUAUUCCAAGGUUGUGUGAAUGCUAUCGCACUCUGACAGCCGCUGUCUAGCAUACUCAAGGCCAAUUCCCCGCCACACCUGCUUAAUUUCGUGGCAUUCCACAAACAGGUGUUUAGCCGACUCAUUUCUCGAAUUGCAUAGGAAACACUUGUGAUCCUCAAUUGCCGUUCCCCUUCGACAAAGAAUAUCUUUAGUGGCUAGUGUGUUAUGCGCAAGGCGCCACAUAAAAUGCCUAACCUUGCCUGGGCAUGGCAGUUUCCAUAUCCUCUUCCACCUUGCCUCUCCUCCACCCUCUAGAUCACCGGCCACCUGAGGAAUCCCAUCCCCUUGUGCAGCCCCGGUCUCGGCCAAUGCCCUCUUCAGCUUGUACGCCUGCUUGACAGAGAAUACGCCCUUGGGGUCAAAGUGCCAGGCCAAGAAGUCGACUGCUCCAUCUCGUAGAGGAAUUUGAAGAAUCAACUCCGCAUCCUCCUCCCAAAAGGUAUCUCGGACCAGUUCCAUGUCCCAUUUGCCGCUCGAUGGAUCUAUGAGCUCAGCGACCCUCGUCAAUAGGUUUCCUCCACGAGGGGUGAUCACACGCCUAGACCAAGCUCUGGGUAUCCAUGGAUCGUCCCAAAUGCGAAUGUUUUUCCUGUCUCCCACACGCCAUAUCAUCCCUUGCUUGACUAGGUCAAUUCCGUAGGUGAUGCUGCGCCACGCAUAGGACAUGUUUGUGACCUGGCCCGCAUCCAGAAUGGAGCUCUCCGGGUAGUACUUGGCCUUCAAGAGCUGUCCGCACAGGCUGUCUGGGUUUUCAAUCAGACGCCACACUUGCCUUGCAAGCAUAGCAAUGUUAAAGUCAUGAAUAUCCCGGAAACCAAGUCCCCCUGCCCUUCGACCUUGUAAGUUUUUGCCACCCAAUCCAAUGGAUCUUAUUAUCAUUAUCUUGCUGGCUCCACCAGUACCGCGCAAUCAUAGAACUCAGCUCUUCGCAAAAGGACUUGGUGAGGUAGAAGACUAACAUUGCAAAGGUUGGAACCGCCUGCGCAACACCCUUAACCAGAAUUUCCUUGCCUUGCCGGGAUAGAGUCCUCUCAUUCCAGCCCUGCAUAUAGUUCCAUAUCCGGUCUUUUAGAUAAGCAAAGGCCUUUCGUUUUGACCGGCCGAUAUACACUGGGAGUCCCAGGUAUUUCUCAUUAUACACCUCACUAACAAUGCCCAAGGCUCCUUUCACAUCUCCUUUGGUCUGUUUGGAGCAGUUUUUACUGAACAUUACUGCAGAUUUUUCAUGAUUAACACACUGCCCCGAGCACCUCUCAUAGACCUGAAGUAUACGUUGCGGUUCCGCAGCUUCAGCAGCCCGCGCUUGCAUCAGGAGUACCGAAUCAUCAGCAAAAAACAGGUGCGAAAUGGAUGGCGCACCCGGACAGAUUUGUAUGCCUCCAAACGAACCACACUGUUGGGACUCAUUUAGAAGAGUCGACAAUCCUUCAGCACAAAUGACAAACAGGUAGGGAGAACUUGGAUCGCCUUGCCGGAGCCCUCUAGAUGGCACAAAUUGUUGGGAGAGAUCCCCAUUGAUUUUGAUCCUGUAUCUCAUCGAAACUACGCACUUCAUCACAAGCUUGACCCAGCUGCUUGCAAACCCCAAUUUAUACAUCAUCGCUUCAAGGAAAGCCCACUCUACACGGUCAUAUGCUUUGCUCACGUCCACUUUAACCGCAACAAACUCUUCCUUCCCUGACCUUCUGUCAUCAGGAAAUGUGAUAUCUCAUAUGCCAUGAGGAUGUUAUCUGUUAUCAACCAUCCAGGUACAAACGCACUCUGGUUAUCCGAGAUGAUCUGUGGCAGGAUAAGCUUGAGGCGAUUCGCCACAACUUUGGAGAUUAUCUGUUACACAAACUUAUUGGCAUGAGAUCCUUUAUCCGUGAAGGUUUUUUUACCUUGGGUAUUAGUACCACAUGAGUAUCAUUCCAACCCGCUGGCAUCUCACCACCCUCCAGAACAUGUCGCACCUCAUCAAUGAUAUUCCUGCCCAUUAACUGCCAAUAUUUCUUGAAAACCACCGCGGGCAUGCCAUCCGGCCCAGGUGCUUUGAGAUCUCCGAUCUGAUCUAGAGCAGUUUGGAUUUCCAUAUCAGAGAAUGCAGCAGUAAGGCUAUCAUUCAUAGCACUAGUCACCUUCACUUGCAUAGCCCUGAGAAGCUCAUCAUAUUGGCCAUUGCCAUUGGAGGUGAAUAGGUCCUUAAAAUAAGACACGACAUAGUUAGUGAGCUCUCUUCCUUCCUCUACAACUACUCCAUCCUCCCUCCUAAGCCUCCGUAUCCUGUUGGCCUUCCUUCUCGCCGAGGCAUAUCGAAAGAAAAACUUUGUGUUUCUAUCCCCUUCCUUCAGCCACCAAACAUGAGCACGUUGCCUCCACUUAAUAUCAAGCACUUCCUCCAAAUGAUCAACCAAACACUGUAACCUCACCUCCUCAGCCACCUUCUCGGGUGAGACCCCUUGUUUUCUACAAGCUUCCAACUCUCGCUUUGCCUCCUUCAACUUCUUUUCCGUAUCCCCCACCACAUCCCUGCUCCAUCUAGAUAGAUCACGCGCCACCCCCUCCAGCGCCGUGGCCACAUCCGGCACUCCACCUUCUCGUACUCUUCUCCACGCUUCCUCCACCACCAACUCGCAACCCUCUUCCUUCAGCCACCGGGCCUCAAAGCGGAAGCAUCCCCGUCCCUUCCUCCCCCUGUCCCCCACCUCCUCCGUGUCCACCACCACCGGCCGGUGAUCGGAGUGCCUCGGGAACUCAUUUCGAACACGGAACUCCGAGAAUUUUGAACACCAUUCCAUGUUAGCAGUGGCCCGGUCGAGACGCCCACAAACAUACCCUUCCGCACGCGUAUAGUUGUUCCACCAAGUGAUAACAUCUCCCUCGUAUCCUAGAUCACUCAACUUGCACUCCUCCAACGCCUCCUUAAACUGAUUCAUGCACCCCUCCGGUCGGUCCACACCACCUCUCUUCUCCUCAUUAGACAUGAUCUCAUUAAAAUCACCCAAACAUAGCCACGACCUCCUCUCCUGCUGUUGCUGAUUAAGCAAGUGCAUCGUCCUCCAGGUUUCCUUCUUUCUUCCCCAUUGCGACUCCCCAUACACUCUAGUAAUCCUCCAAGUUGAGUCAUCCUCCUCUGUUAUAUCCGCAUCAACGUGCCUUCUACCCACCGACCGCAAAGAGAGAUUGAUGCCCCUCCUCCAGAAAAUAGUCACCCCCGGCUCCUUCCUUCUGAGUCCUUCGCACACAUAUUUGCCAACCCUAGCUUCCACCUGUACUGUUCUAGCUCCUUCUCCAGCAACUUUGUCUCGCACAAAAAGAAAACAUCGGGAUCCUCCACCCUCUUGAGGUCCAAGAGGCCACGAACUGUCGGGCCAUUCCCGAGUCCCCGACAGUUCCAGCUUACAAUCCUCAUUGCGUCCGGCGGGGCUGCUCUGGCAGCCCGGCCGAUAUAGUGUUUAAAGGAGACGUCUCAGUUGCACCCAUCACCUUGUCACCCCUCCUCCACCCUUCCCUUCUUUCUCAAGUGCUCCUCUUCUUCCCCCUCCACAUUCCUCUUCUGCCCUAACACACGAUCAACUACACUGUCUUCUUUUGACACCACCGGCCCUUCCCUUCUAACCUUCUUGUAUUUCUUUGGUAUAUGCGCGCCACUCUUCCCUCUCCCAUCCUCCUUUGCAGUGCUUUCUUCCACUACUUCCUUCACAGUCUGCAUCUCUGGUUGGAGCACACCUCCCUUGCCUACCUGCCCCUCGUCCAUCUCCACCUCCAUAGCCGCUCCUCCCCCCCCACACCAUUGGCAUUAGCGUCGAUCACCUCCUUGCUUCCACCGUCCGCAUGAAAGGUUAUCCUCUUUUGAAGCCCCCCGCCCCCGCACGCCUUAGUGAUCUUGCUGGGGCUAUUGACUUCUUCUCCCUCCUCCGUCCGUUCCUCCCCUAUCUGAGGGACAGAUUUUCGCCAGCUGAGGCUAUCACUGCGAGACCUACCACCCAACCUCCCACCCCCAUACAAUCGCCCAUUUCCAGAGCCGCUCCCACUCCCAUUCUGGUUGUUUCUCCACAUCCUUCCUUCCUCUAGACCACGACGUCUCCCCAUGUCAGCACGCAACCAUCGCCCGUACUGCGCCUUCUCCCCCUUCUUCAGCUUGGUCAAACACCCUUUGUCCACAUGUCCAAUGAUUCCACAUAUAUAACAGAAGUCAGGGAGGUAUUCGUACUCAAAACGGCAAAAAGGCCUCUCCUUCUCAACAUCUCCUUCAUUUUCACGCUCCUUCUCCUCAUCACUCUCCGACUCCUCAUCCAGCGCGACUCCCCUCAUUAUCGGUUUAUUGAUCGGCAUACACACCUUAAUGCGCAAAAACCUCCCCACCGCCGAACCAUCCACUCCGGAGUCCAUCUCCACGUACUUGCCUACUAGAUUUCCAAUCUCCUCCGCCAUCUCCUCCUCCAUCUUCCCCAACGGCAAGCCAAACACUCUGAACCAAACAGGGACCUCCUCGAACACAUACUGCUCAAUUCGCUUGCUCGGCACAAAAUCCACCAUCACAACGAGGUCAUUAUCGAACAUCCAUGGUCCAUCCUCCAACGCCUUGCGCUUGCAUGACUCUUGUUUGAAGGUGAAUAUGAAGAUAUUCUCGCCCAGCUCUUUGCAGUCCACGCCCUUCAGGGGACACCAGCACUUUCCCAGCGAUAGGCAGAUCGCGUCCGGGUGCGCGGGUCUCUCCGGCAUCACCUUCCCCACCGCUUGGAUCUCACCCUUACUCUCCUUUGCCUGCGACAUCCACCGGAUCUUCACUCCUUUCCUCUCCUCCUCCGACAGCUUCAUCUUCUCCAUCAACCCCGCAACCUUCUCCAUGGCGGCUCGUACUCAGUGUCUGUGACUGAAACCCUAGACAGGUGUUUUACGAUCGUGUGCCCUAGGAAGCACCCAAAAGGCUUUUGGUGGAAUACGGGGGAGUCCCGCUGGGCGGACAGUGCGCCUCGCUGUGGGACAGGGAUCACUCGACGGCACCCACCGGCGAUCAGAUCUGAGCGCACGGGGCGGAUGCACCACGGGAACCAGGAAGGAACAAAUCGCUUCCAUGAUCGCCGGACAUACCAACCGUCACCGCGUACGUGGGAUGGACCGCAGGAGUGUUUACUUGGACCCUUCCCAAGUGGCUGAAACUGCUUCGCCGGGGGUUGAUACCGUGGGGAUGGGAGACGGGGAGGCCAACUUAUGAGGGAUUCAAGAUGUUUCGUUUUGGGGAGGUUUGCUUCUGCUUCCGCUGGUCGAGGAAUAGAGAUCCAAAUGGGAGGGGCGCAUAUUGUGGAGCACCGAGGGGUCAUCUCGUAGGAUGGUAGGCUCUCUCGUGGGUUGUAAUAGCAGUAACUAAAGCCACGUGCUAGUAAAAAAACUUUUGGGUGGAAUACCAUCAAGUGAUGCUACGUGAACAUGGAGAAAAAAACCAAGAGUUAAAGUGACGUGGAUGGAAAUUGCUGAGGUGGCUAGACGAUGAUGUGGACGGGCUGCAUGUUGAGAGAAUUGGUAGUAGUGGGGAUCAACUUCUUAAGAAUGUAAGAUUAAUAUAUUAGUAUUUAUUCCUCUCACUCAAUAAAAUCAAGGACCAGCUCAGGAACGGAAAAGGUCUACAAUCAAUUACCAAUAUAUUUUACUAAUUGGUUAUUUAUUUUUUAAUUUUUGGUGUUGUAAAAAUUCCUAAACUAUGAAUUUUUUGUAUUGAAAUGACUACCACGUGUGUGAAACUAUCAUCAUGGUAUCCAUCAAACCACUUAAGUCUCAAGGGACCAAAUCAGAAAGAGAAGCUCUAAUGUACCACCUAUACUAUUCAAUACUCCAUCAACUAUUAUACAAAUAUACAACCUGGAAAAAGGUGAUGCCCAUGAGGGUACCAUAUGCCAAAAUCAGCCCUCUGUCUAAAUAUUCACGUAAUAGAUAAAACAUGGGAUGAAAACCCUGGAUGGCACCAAACAAAACGAAAUACCAACCUAUGAUGGUACCAUAUGCCAAAAUCAGCCCUCUUCCCUUUGUGCCUUUUGCGGCCAACAGAUUAUGUUCACUUCAGUUCUAUCCGUGAUGCCACGGCAUUAGCUUUUCUGUUUUCUUUUCUUAUUUUUCUAACUCAACAAAGCUCUUUUUUCCAUUAUAUCUUGCAAGAAAUUUUCUUUCUUCCUUUUUAUACUUUUUUGACAAAACCUGCAAUGUCGUUCUAAAAGUUGCGUAAAGAAAAGGAUGGCCAACAACAAGCUGGCUCACAUGUCAGUCACCCAUGAUCGUCGGACAUCACAUGCUAGCUACGAGUUUCCGAUAUGACCUUCUGAUAGGCACCGAUGCUAGCAUGCCUAUGCUUUAAUGAAACACAUCACAACACGGCGAGAUCUUUUGAAUUUUUUCCCAUCUCGUCAAAAUUUGUCUUUCUCAUCUCUCUUUCAUGUGAAGGAGUAUUAUUAUUUUUGUUUUCAGCCGUUUCAGGCCCAUCUUUGUUUUCAGUGUGUUUCAUAUGUGGUUAGUUGGAUACCAAAGCAUGACAAUGGUGAAACAAAAAAACGACACUAUCCAUAUUUUGGAGCCAACAAAGAGAAUUAAAUAUGUGGCAUCAUUUUGCCUUGUGCCAUUUUGGACAACAUUUUCUGUUCAGUUCUAUCCAAACGUAGGAGAAAAAUUGUUUUAGCAUCUUUUCUCCCUUUCUUAUUUUUCAAACUCCACAAAGUUCCUUUUCUAUUGUAUCCGGGGAGAAAGAAUUUACUUUCUUUCUAUUUCUAUAUAUUUUUGGACAAAACUUGAAAGAAAAACACACCUUUGUUUUGUUAGAGGAGUUGCAAAAAGAAAUGAGCAUCCGGCAACAAGCUGGUCAACAUGUCAGCCGCCCACAAGUGUAGAUAAUCACAACGGUCUUCGUUGCGAAAUAUUACAACUCUAAUUUAUACGCGAUGGAAGCGAGAGAAUACUUAUAAGCUCUAUCAAUUGAGUUGUCAAUUCAACCACAUAUGAAAACAAGUACUUGCUCGAAGAAAUUUGUACCAAUGACAAUCUACUAAAUGGACUGGUGUACGUAGUAGUAGAGUUACACAAAGUAGUAAAUACCCGAGAGUUGCCAAAUAUGAAGGAACGAAAGAAAGCAAGCAAUAAUGAAAAAAUGCAGAUAUAUGUAGAGUUCUUUGGAUAUUUACUACUCUCUGUAACACGCUGAAAGAGCACAAGGGAAAAAAAUUCUCAUCACAUGGUUGGAGAGAUCAUGGCGGCGAUGAGGGAGAAGGGGUUGACGGAACCGAUGGUGAAGCUUCCCCUCUCCGAUGGCAUGGUGAAGCCUUCAGCAGUCCUCCGAGAAGAAGAUCAACAAUGGCGGCCCCGCAUCAAGAAUAAUUCUGUGAUAAAUAUGCAAAUCUGCAUUGUCACGUGCAAUGCACCCCAUUCAACUCUCCAGAACCUAAUUGAUCUAGCUCACGGGCCACCAAGAAAAGAGAUUCUACCUUGCAUGAGAGGUCUCGUGUAUAGGUCCCAUGCAUGGGUCAAUUUCUUUCCCCCUUUCCCUCACACACUACACAUAUUAUAUACACCACCCAUCCAUGCAUUUUUCAUUUGAUUUCAAAGUUUGAAUCUACUUUAUCCAUUGAGUCAAACGUCUAAUUUAUGAUCCGCCUGCAUCUUUGUGUUCUUUGCGAUGAGCACUUUGAAACAAGACCACUCUUGAAUACAUUUUGACAAGUUUUAAAAAUUGAAAUAUGAAACACGGUGAAACUCUAUGAAACAUAGUGAAAUAAUAUUGUGUUGCGUGAAGCGUAUAUUGAGUUUUCAUCAAGUUUCAUCAAGUUCUAUACUGACGAACAUUAUGAUGCACCAAGUUUCUCCAAGUUUUAACAAGUUCCCUAUCCAUCACUUUGACACACAAUUCAAUCGACAUGAUACACUAUGGUACAAGAGAAAAUAUGAUAUAACAAACUAAAAUGUCAUAGAACAAUAUUACCAAGUUUUAUUAGGUUAUUUUGUGUUGCAUCAUGUAUCACUAAGUUUCAUAAAUUUCCAUCAUGUUUUUGAAUUCAAAUUUUAAAUAUUUUCCUAAUAUAUUCAAGAUUGGCUUUGUUCGGAAGACUUCCUUACCGGAAAUUAUAAUGUGCAAACAGAUAAAAAAAUCCGACUCAUAUUCAAAACAUAAAAUUGAUACAAUAUUUGAAUCAUAUGAAAAAAGUAUGGGUGAGUUACAUUGUACUAGGGUUGUAGAGUAGUUUUGAGGUCAUUUCUGCCAUGAAUCAUGGUGCAACAAUCAACGGGUGAACCGUGCAUAGUAUUUAAUCAGUCUCAUGGGCCACGUGAGUGUCUUGACAAUGAAUCUUUUGAAUACAAACCUCUUGAGCACUGACCUUUAGUUGGUGAUGGAAAUCAGUGGCAAUAUCAUGGAGGUGUGACCUGCUCUCUAACAAUUGUGUGAUUGCAGAAAUGACCUCUGAGUGAAGCUUGUACACAGUUGUUCAUGGCAUCCCAUGCCGAGAGAAGAACUUCGCCACUUUGAUCCCUAAAAUCAUCGUUCCCAAGCACAGGGAGAGACAUAUACGUGUAUAAUGGCCUCACAUGCACUCGUCCUUGUGACCGCUAUUCUCCUCUUGUUGUUAUUUCUCUUUUGGGCAAUUAGCUCGUGCGCACAGCAUAGGCUUUGAGAAGAAGACCAUCACAGAGUGAUUAUAUUAACCCUAAAGGACAAGGACUGAUGGUGAACUGAUGCCAUGUACUACUACAACACCUCAUAUCCUUGUAGUUUUUCUUUUCUUUCAAAACUACUCCUUUAGGGUUGUAAUUGUUUGUGAUGAUCAUGUCACGGAGCCAUGCAUGGAGUAUCUUUCUAUGAUGAUCACUCCGCUUGUAAUAGUCUGUGAUGCACUUUGUAAUUUGGUAUACCCAUUCGCUGGCAUGACUAAUGUUCACGAGGAGGACAUGAUAUAGGUGCUUGGCGAGAGGGCAUAGCAAAGGCACAUCGCCCGUGAACGGAGAAUCUUUCUGUUUCAUGAUGCGACGGUGGGUAUUGGUUCGUUUGACUUUUGAGUCAACAUUUGUCUUCUAGAUAUGUCCAAUAUUUUUCUUAAAAAAAGUUAAAAUUAGUAAGUGCAAAUUUCAGAAUCCUCCAUACCAUUUUCCUGAUUUAUGUAAGGCAUCAUGGGACCACAUUGUUUAUUUUGUUCGCAGUUACUUGGAGUAAAGCAACGGGCAAAAUGAGAAGUGCUUUUACUUGCUUUUACAAGUACAACCAUUCCAGAUGGCGUCGAAGCACAUUGUUAUUGAGAAUAUUCCCUCAAAGGAAACACAUAUGGCCUCACCUUACCAAAGACAAAGCACUAGAAGAGGGCGAGAUCCAUCGAGAGCAACUAAGAAAUGGAUCUUAAUGCACUCAAAACCGAUGUGCCCCAUCAUGAACCGAGGGACCUGGUGACCGAAGUUCAUAACCCUAUCGCCUUAAAAAACCGCUACGACUAGGAGGCAUGCCUAGUGGACUAUGUAGAGUUGAAGAACAAGUCCUAGGCUGCAGGAUUAGCUGAGGAAUGGUCAUUUUUCUCCCGAUGUCUCCAAUUCCCUUGUAUUCCCCGUACACUCUAAGGUUAUCACCUGUUUGAUGUGCUAGCAAUGCCAACUAGAAGAUGCGAUGGUUAAUGUCCGAGAUUGCUGAAAAUUGAGUAGUAUAUAUAGCUAGAAAAUAUUAUUCGCUCGAAUAAAUGUUGGUGGAGUAUUUAUGUUAUUCACGUGGUGAAUGUCCAAGAGUACAGCCUCACUUCAUGUGUUGGUACUGACACCUGUUGUCUACUUUUUUGUGGAUACAUAUUAUUAACCCAAACGAUCCGAUGGUGAAACCUCUAUCUUGUACUACUAGAGUACCGCGUAUUUUGCCUCCUUGCCAUUGUGGCUUGAGGGUUCGACUAUGUGAGUUGUGUCGUUGUAGUCGUGGCGUGUGUCCUGUGUGCCGAAAGGUGUUGUAUCCGCCGCUUGGCUCUUCUUCUGUGCUAUUGAUGCACCUUUCCAUGGUGUAUACUUGAAAAAAGGUACCGUGUGUCUCCAUGUAGCUUUUCUCCAAACUAUCUUUAUGUGAUGAUCCUAUAUUAGCACUAUCAAUCUACCAAGUCAGACAAUACCUUUUGUGAGAACUGUAUAUUUAUAUACGUACCUUCUCCAUCCGUUCCAAAUUACUUGUCGUGGUUUCAGUACAAAUUUGAACUAAAACCACGACGAGUAAUUUGGAACAGAGGGAGUACAAUAUAAGAUUGUUUUUAUGCUAUGUUAGCUUGAAAAUGAUCUUAUAUUGUGAGACUGCGGGAGUAUAGAUUAGUCAUCGUUCAUGAGGAGAACAAGAAAUGUCAAAGAAAAGAAAACAAUAUCCAUGCAAAACUCGAACUAGAGGAGACACGUCUCGUGAAUGCAGUAUGGGAAGAGCGUGGGAACGUAAAGUAACCAAGAUUUGGAAAAUCGAGAGCUCCGCUGGCACCUUAAGUGAGCCUAAUUGCUCUGCCGGCUUUGGCAGUGCUACUGAACAAGAUGAAGGUAUAUAGUGAAACUUAUACGUUGUAAUGGCCUCGUUCAUCCCUGUGGCUGCGGUCCGCGUCGCACUGUUGUCCCUCCUGCUAGCAGCUUCCCAUGCAGAUACCGUCCGCAAUCGUACGACCUCCGUGACAACCGUAGGAUUGUAGUAGUGAGAAGAAGAUCAGCAGGUAUCCUAACUGCAUUUCUAUUGAGCUAGACACAAUGAGCAGCACCGAUGUUGUCGUCUCUUCCUUGGGGCAGUACCGGACCGGGCAUACUCACUAGACCUUAGUGAGCUGGGCAUGCCAACAUACGACAUGACACAUCUGUGUUGGGGAACGUUGCAGAAAACAAAAAUUUUCUUAUGGUUUCACCAAGGUCCAUCUAUGAGUUCAUCUAGAAACGAGUGAUUGGAUUGCAUCUACAUACCUUUGUGGAUCACGCGCGGAAGCGUUCAAAGAACGGGGAUGAGGAAGACGUACUCGACGUGAUCCAAAUCACCGAAGAUCCUAGCGCCGAACGAACGGCACCUCCGUGUUCAACACACGUACGGUCAGCGUGACGUCUCCUCCUUCUUGAUCCAGCAAGGGGGGAGGAGAGGUUGAUGAAGAUCCAGCAGCACGACGGCGUGGUGGUGGAUGCAGGGCGUCACCGCAGCAGGGCUUCCCCGUAUACUGCGAGAGAGAGAGAGAGGUGUAGCAGGGGAGAGGGAGGCGCCAAGACUCAAGGUAUUGCUGCCCCCUCCCUCCCCCCCUUUAUAUAGGCUCCCCUAGGGGGGCGCCGGCCCUAGAAGAUGGGAUCUCCUAGGGGGGGCGGCGGCCAAGGGUGGAGUAGCCCCCAAGGCAAGGUGGGGCGCCCCCCACCCCUAGGGUUCCAACCCUAGGCGCAUGGGGUGGGCCUAGGGGGGCGCACCAGCCCACUAUGGGCUGGUUCCCCUCCCCACUUUGGCCCAUGGGGCCCUCCGGGAUGGGUGGCCCCACCCGGUGGACCCCCGGGACCCUUCCGGUGGUCCCGGUACAAUACCGGUGACCCCGAAACUCUCCCGAUGGCCGAAACUGCACUUUCUAUAUAUAAUUCUUCACCUCCGGACCAUUCCGGAACUCCUCGUGAUGUCCAGGAUCUCAUCCGGAACUCCGAACAACUUUCGGGUUACUGCAUAUUCAUAUCUCUACAACCCUAGCAUCACCGAACCUUAAGUGUGUAGACCCUACGGGUUCGGGAGACAUGUAGACAUGACCGAGACGGCUCUCCGGUCAAUAACCAACACCGGGAUCUGGAUACCCAUGUUGGCUCCCACAUGCUCCUCGAUGAUCUCAUCGGAUGAACCACGAUGUCGAGGAUUCAAGCAACCCCGUAUUCAAUUCCCUUUGUCAAUCGGUACGUUACUUGCCCGAGAUUCGAUCGUCGGUAUCCCAAUACCUCGUUCAAUCUCGUUACCGGCAAGUCACUUUACUCGUACCGUAAUGCAUGAUCCCGUGACCAGACACUUGGUCACUUUGAGCUCAUUAUGAUGAUGCAUUACUGAGUGGGCCCAGAGAUACCUCUCCGUCAUACGGAGUGACAAAUCCCAGUCUUGAUCCGUGUCAACCCAACAGACACUUUCGGAGAUACCCGUAGUAUACCUUUAUAGUCACCCAGUUACGUUGUGACGUUUGGUAUACCCAGAGCACUCCUACGGUAUCCGGGAGUUACACGAUCUCAUGGUCUAAGGAAAAGAUACUUGACAUUGGAAAAACUCUAGCAAACGAACUAUACGAUCUUGUGCUAUGUUUAGGAUUGGGUCUUGUCCAUCACAUCAUUCUCCUAAUGAUGUGAUCCCGUUAUCAAUGGCAUCCCCAUGUCCAUAGCCAGGAAACCAUGACUAUCUGUUGAUCAACGAGCUAGUCAACUAGAGGCUCACUAGGGACACAUUAUGGUCUAUGUAUUCACACAUGUAUUACGAUUUCCGGAAAAUACAAUUAUAGCAUGAAUAAUAGACAAUUAUCAUUAACAAGGAAAUAUAAUAAUCAUUUUAUUAUUGCCUCUAGGGCAUAUUUCCAACAGUCUCCCACUUGCACUAGAGUCAAUCAUCUAGUUACAUUGAGAUGAAUCGAACACCCAUGGAAUUCUGUUGUUGAUCAUGUUUUGCUCUAGGGAGAGGUUUACUCAACGGAUCUGCUACAUUCAGGUCCGUAUGUUCUUUACAAAUCUCUAUGUCUCCAUUUUGAACACUUUUACGAAUGGAGUUGAAGCGACGCUUGAUAUACCUGGUCUUCCUGUGAAACCUGGGCUCCUUGGCAAGGGCAAUAGCUCCAGUGUUGUCACAGAAGAGAGUCAUCGGGCCCGACGCAUUGGGUAUGACUCCUAGGUCGGUAAUGAACUCCUUCACCCAGACUGCUUCAUGUGCUACCUCCGAGGCUGCCAUGUACUCCGCUUCACAUGUAGAUCCUGCCACAACGCUUUGCUUGCAACUGCACCAGCUUACUGCCCCACCAUUCAAAAUAUACACGUAUCCGGUUUGUGACUUAGAGUCAUCCAGAUCUGUGUCGAAGCUAGCGUCAACGUAACCCUUUACGACGAGCUCUUCGUCACCUCCAUAAACGAGAAACAUUUCCUUAGUCCUUUUCAGGUACUUCAGGAUAUUCUUGACUGCUGUCCAGUGUUCCUUGCCGGGAUUACUUUGGUACCUUCCUACCAAACUUACGGCAAGGUUUACAUCAGGUCUGGUACACAGCAUGGCAUACAUAAUGGAACCUAUGGCUGAGGCAUAGGGGAUGACACUCAUCUCUUCUAUAUCUUCUGCCGUGGUCGGACAUUGAGCCGAGCUCAAUUUCACACCUUGCAACACAGGCAAGAACCCCUUCUUAGACUGAUCCAUAUUGAACUUCUUCAAUAUCUUAUCAAGGUAUGUGCUUUGUGAAAGACCUAUGAGGUGUCUUGAUCUAUCUCUAUAGAUCUUGAUGCCUAAUAUAUAAGCAGCUUCUCCAAGGUCCUUCAUUGAAAAACUCUUAUUCAAGUAGGCCUUAAUGCUGUCCAAAAGCUCUAUAUCAUUUCCCAUCAAAAGUAUGUCAUCUACAUAUAAUAUGAGAAAUGCUACAGAGCUCCCACUCACUUUCUUGUAAACGCAGGCUUCUCCAUAAGUCUGCAUAAACCCAAACGCUUUGAUCAUCUCAUCAAAGCGAAUGUUCCAACUCCGAGAUGCUUGCACCAGCCCAUAAAUCGAGCGUUGGAGCUUGCACACCUUGUCAUCAUUCUUAGGAUCGAUAAAACCUUUCGGCUGCAUCAUAUACAGUUCUUCCUUAAGAUGACCGUUAAGGAAUGCCGUUUUGACGUCCAUUUGCCAUAUCUCAUAAUCAUAGUAUGCGGCAAUUGCUAACAUGAUUCAGACGGACUUCAGCUUUGCUACGGGAGAGAAUGUCUCAUCGUAGUCAACCCCUUGAACUUGUCGAUAACCCUUAGUGACAAGCCUAGCUUUAUAGAUGGUCACAUUACCAUCCGCGUCUGUCUUCUUCUUAAAGAUCCAUUUAUUUUCUAUGGCUCGCCGAUCAUCGGGCAAGUCAGUCAAAGUCCAUACUUCGUUUUCAUACAUGGAUCCUAUCUCGGAUUUCAUGGCUUCCAGCCAUUUGUCGGAAUCCGGGCCCGCCAUCGCUUCUUCAUAGUUCGAAGGUUCACCAUUGUCUAACAACAUGAUUUCCAAGACAGGGUUGCCGUACCACUCUGGUGCGGAACGUGUCCUUGUGGACCUUCGAAGUUCAGUAGGAGCUUGAUCAGAAGUAUCUUGAUCAUCAUCAUUAACUUCCUCUCUAAUUGGUGCAGGCACCACAGGAACAUUUUCCUGAGUUGCGCCACUUUCCGGUUCAAGAGGCAAUACUUCAUCAAGUUCUACUUUCCUCCCACUUACUUCUUUCGAGAGAAACUCCUUCUCUAGAAAGGAUCCAUUCUUGGCAACAAAGAUCUUGCCUUCGGAUCUGAGGUAGAAGGUAUACCCAAUAGUUUCUUUAGGGUAUCCUAUGAAGACGCAUUUUUCUGACUUGGGUUCGAGCUUUUCAGGUUGAAGUUUCUUGAAGUAAGCAUCGCAUCCCCAAACUUUUAGAAACGACAGCUUAGGCUUGUUCCCAAACCAUAAUUCAUACGGUGUCGUCUCAAUGGAUUUCGACGGAGCCCUAUUUAAAGGGAAUGUGGCAGUCUCUAAAGCAUAACUCCAAAAUGACAGCGGUAAAUCGGUAAGAGACAUCAUAGAUCGCACCAUAUCUAAUAGAGUGCGAUUACGAUGUUCGGACACACCAUUACGCUGAGGUGUUCCAGGAGGCGUGAGUUGUGAAACUAUUCCACAUUUUCUUAAGUGUGUACCAAAUUCGUGACUCAAGUAGUCUCCUCCACGAUCUGAUCGCAAAAACUUGUUUUUUCUGUCACGUUGAUUCUCAACCUCACUUUGAAAUUCCUUGAACUUUUCAAAGGUUUCAGACUUGUGUUUCAUUAAGUAGAUAUACCCAUAUCUACUCAAGUCAUCAGUGAGGGUGAGAACAUAACGAUAGCCACCACGAGCCUCAACACUCAUUGGACCGCACACAUCAGUAUGUAUGAUUUCCAAUAGGUUGGUUGCUCGCUCCAUUGUUCCUGAGAACGGAGUCUUGGUCGUCUUACCCAUGAGGCAUGGUUCGCACGUCUCAAAUGAUUCGUAAUCAAGAGACUCUAAAAGUCCAUCUGUAUGGAGCUUCUUCAUGCGUUUGACACCUAUGUGACCAAGGCGGCAGUGCCACAAGUAUGUGGGACUAUCAUUAUCAACCUUACAUCUUUUGGUACUCACACUAUGAAUAUGUGUAGCAUUACGCUGGAGAUUCAUUAAGAAUAAACCAUUCACCAUAGGAGCAUGACCAUAAAACAUAUCUCUCAUAUAAAUAGAACAACCAUUAUUCUCGGAUUUAAAUGAGUAGCCAUCUCGUAUUAAACGAGAUCCUGAUACAAUGUUCAUGCUCAAAGCUGGUACUAAAUAACAAUUAUUGAGGUUUAAAACUAAUCCCGUGGGUAAAUGUAGAGGUAGCGUGCCGACGGCGAUCACAUCGACCUUGGAACCAUUCCCGACGCGCAUCAUCACCUCGUUCUUCGCCAGUCUCCGCUUAUUCCACAGCUCCUGCUUUGAGUUACAAAUGUGAGCAACCGCACCGGUAUCAAAUACCCAGGAGCUACUACGAGUACUGGUAAGGUACACAUCAAUUACGUGUAUAUCACAUAUACCUUUCGUUUUUCCGGCCUUCUUGUCCGCUAAGUAUUUGGGGCAGUUCCGCUUCCAGUGACCACUUCCCUUGCAAUAAAACACUCAGUCUCGGGCUUGGGUCCAUUUUUUGGCUUCUUCCCGGCAGCUUGCUUACCGGGCACGGCAACUCCCUUGCCGUCCUUCUUGAAGUUCUUAUUACCCUUGCCUUUCUUGAACUUAGUGGUUUUAUUCACCAUCAACACUUGAUGGUCCUUUUUGACUUCUACAUCUGCUGAUUUCAGCAUUGCAAAUACUUCAGGAAUGGUCUUUUCCAUCCCUUGCAUAUUGAAGUUCAUCACAAAGCUCUUGUAGCUUGGUGGAAGCGAUUGGAGGAUUCUGUCAAUGACCGCGUCAUCCAGGAGAUUAACUCCCAGCUGAGUCAAGCGGUUAUGUAACCCAGACAUAGUGAGUAUGUGCUCACUGACAGAACUAUUUUCCUCCAUCUUACAGCUGAAGAACUUGUCGGAGACUUCAUAUCUCUCGACCCGGGCAUGAGCUUGGAAAACCAUUUUCAGCUCUUCGAACAUCUCAUAUGCUCCGUGUUGCUCAAAGCGCUUUUGGAGCCCCGGUUCUAAGCUGUAAAGCAUGCCGCACUGAACGAGGGAGUAAUCAUCAACACAUGUCUGCCAAGCGUUCAUAACGUCUUGGUUCUGUGGGACGGGUGCGUCACCUAGCGGUGCUUCUAGGACAUAAUCUUUCUUGGCAGCUAUUUGGAUGAUCCUCAGGUUCCGGACCCAGUCCGUAUAGUUGCUGCCAUCGUCUUUCAGUUUGGUUUUCUCUAGGAACGCGUUGAAGUUGAGGACAACGUUGGCCAUUUGAUCUACAAGACAUAUUGUAAAUAUUUUAGACUAAGUUCAUGAUAAUUAAGUUCAUCUAAUCAAAUUAUUCAAUGAACUCCCACUUAGAUAGACAUCCCUCCAGUCAUCUAAGUAUAACAUGAUCCGAGUUGACUAGGCCGUGUCCGAUCAUCACGUGAGACGGACUAGUCAACAUCGGUGAACAUCUUCAUGUUGAUCGUAUCUUCUAUACGACUCAUGCUCGACCUUUCGGUCUUCUGUGUUCCGAGGCCAUGUCUGUACAUGCUAGGCUCGUCAAGUCAACCUAAGUGUAUUGCGUGUGUAAAUCUGUCUUACACCCGUUGUAUGUGAACGUUGGAAUCUAUCACACUCGAUCAUCACGUGGUGCUUCGAAACAACGAACUGUCGCAACGGCGCACAGUUAGGGGGAACACUUUCUUGAAAUUAUUAUGAGGGAUCAUCUUAUUUACUACCACCGUUCUAAGUAAACAAGAUGCAAAAACAUGAUAAACAUCACAUGCAAUCAAAUAAUAAUAGUGACAUGAUAUGGCCAAUAUCACAUGGCUCCUUUGAUCUCCAUCUUGGGGUCCAUGAUCAUCUUAUCACCGGCAUGACACCAUGAUCUCCAUCAUCGUGUCUCCAUGAAGUUGCUCGCCAACUAUUACUUCUACUACUAUGGCUAAUGUGUUUAGCAAUAAAGUAAAGUAAUUUACAUGGCGUUUCUCAAUGACACGCAGGUCAUACAAAAAAUAAAGACAACUCCUAUGGCUCCUGCCGGUUGUCAUACUCAUCGACAUGCAAGUCAUGAUUCCUAUUACAAGAACAUGAUCUCAUACAUCACAUAUAUAUCAUUCAUCAUUCAUCACAACUUUGGCCAUAUCACAUCACAAAUCACUUGCUGCAAAAACAAGUUAGACGUCCUCUAAUUGUUUGUUGCAAGUUUUACGUGGCUGCAAAAGGGUUCUAGCAAGAAUGUUUUCUUACCUACGUAAUAGCCACAACAUGAUUUGUCAACUUCUAUUUACCCUUCAUAAGGACCCUUUUCAUCGAAUCUGCUCCAACUAAAGUGGGAGAGACAGACACCCGCUAGCCACCUUAUGCAACUAGUGCAUGUCAGUCGGUGGAACCAGUCUCACGUAAGCGUUCGGUCCGGGCCGCUUCAUCCCACAAUACCGCCGAAGCAAGAUAAGACUAGUAGCGGCAAGAAAGUUGACAACAUCUACGCCCACAACAAAUUCUGUUCUACUCGUGCAAGGAGAACUACGCAUAGACCUAGCUCAUGAUGCCACUGUUGGGGAACGUUGGAGAAAACAAAAAUUUUCCUACGGUUUCACCAAGAUCCAUCUAUGAGUUCAUCUAGCAACGGGUGAUUGGAUUGCAUCUACAUACCUUUGUAGAUCAUGCGCGGAAGCGUUCAAAGAACGGGGAUGAGGAAGACGUACUCGACGUGAUCCAAAUCACCGGAGAUCCUAGAGCCGAACGGACGGCACCUCCGUGUUCAACACACGUACGGUCAGCGUGAUGUCUCCUCCUUCUUGAUCCAGCAAGGGGGAGGAGAGGUUGAUGAAGAUCCAGCAGCACGACGGCGUGGUGGUGGAUGCAGGGUGUCACAGCAGCAGGGCUUCGCCGUAUACUGCGAGAGAGNNNNNNNNNNNNNNNNNNNNNNNNNNNNNNNNNNNNNNNNNNNNNNNNNNNNNNNNNNNNNNNNNNNNNNNNNNNNNNNNNNNNNNNNNNNNNNNNNNNNNNNNNNNNNNNNNNNNNNNNNNNNNNNNNNNNNNNNNNNNNNNNNNNNNNNNNNNNNNNNNNNNNNNNNNNNNNNNNNNNNNNNNNNNNNNNNNNNNNNNNNNNNNNNNNNNNNNNNNNNNNNNNNNNNNNNNNNNNNNNNNNNNNNNNNNNNNNNNNNNNNNNNNNNNNNNNNNNNNNNNNNNNNAGGUGUAGCAGGGGAGAGGAAGGCGCCAAGACUCAAGGUAUUGCUGCCCCUCCCUCCCCCCUUUAUAUAGGCUCCCCUAGGGGGGCGCCGGCCCUAGGAGAUGGGAUCUCCUAGGGGGGGCGGCGGCCAAGGGUGGAGUAGCCCCCAAGGCAAGGUGGGGCGCCCCCCCCCCACCCCUAGGGUUCCAACCCUAGGCGCAUGGGGUGGGCCUAGGGGGGCGCACCAGCCCACUAUGGGCUGGUUCCCCUCCCCACUUUGGCCCAUGGGGCCCUCCGAGAUGGGUGGCCCCACCCGGUGGACCCCCGGGACCCUUCCGGUGGUCCCGGUACAAUACCGGUGACCCCGAAACUCUCCCGAUGGUCGAAACUGCACUUCCUAUAUAUAAUUCUUCACCUCCGGACCAUUCCGGAACUCCUCGUGACGUCCAGGAUCUCAUCCGGAACUCCGAACAACUUUCGGGUUACUGCAUAUUCAUAUCUCUACAACCCUAGCGUCACCGAACCUUAAGUGUGUAGACCCUACGGGUUCGGGAGACAUGUAGACAUGACCGAGACAGCUCUCCGGUCAAUAACCAACAGCGGGAUCUGGAUACCCAUGUUGGCUCCCACAUGCUCCUCGAUGAUCUCAUCGGAUGAACCACGAUGUCGAGGAUUCAAGCAACCCCGUAUUCAAUUCCCUUUGUCAAUCGGUAUGUUACUUGCCCGAGAUUCGAUCGUCGGUAUCCCAAUACCUCGUUCAAUCUCGUUACCGGCAAGUCACUUUACUCGUACCGUAAUGCAUGAUCCUGUGACCAGACACUUGGUCACUUCGAGCUCAUUAUGAUGAUGCAUUACCGAGUGGGCCCAGAGAUACCUCUCCGUCAUACGGAGUGACAAAUCACAGUCUUGAUCCGUGUCAACCCAACAGACACUUUCGGAGAUACCCGUAGUAUACCUUUAUAGUCACCCAGUUACGUUGUGACGUUUGGUAUACCCAGAGCACUCCUACGGUAUCCGGGAGUUACACGAUCUCAUGGUCUAAGGAAAAGAUACUUGACAUUGGAAAAACUCUAGCAAACGAACUAUACGAUCUUGUGCUAUGUUUAGGAUUGGGUCUUGUCCAUCACAUCAUUCUCCUAAUGAUGUGAUCCCGUUAUCAAUGACAUCCCCAUGUCCAUAGCCAGGAACCAUGACUAUCUAUUGAUCAACGAGCUAGUCAACUAGAGGCUCACUAGGGACACAUUAUGGUCUAUGUAUUCACACAUGUAUUACGAUUUCCAGACAAUACAAUUAUAGCAUGAAUAAUAGACAAUUAUCAUGAACAAGGAAAUAUAAUAAUCAUUUUAUUAUUGCCUCUAGGGCAUAUUUCCAACAAUCUGGAGGGAGAGUUCACAGAGGCAGAAAUCUGAGACGCGGUUCGCGCGCAAGAUCUUGACAAAGCACCGGGUCCGGAUGGGUUCUCGGCGCAUUUUCACGUCAUAUGUUGGCCAAUCAUCAAAGAUGACGUCUUGGAGGCUUUCCAUUCCUUUGGAAACUUGGAUUUUUGUGGGAUGACUUCUAUCAAUCAGGCAUUCAUCACUCUGUUGCCAAAAUCAGCCGAUGCACUUGAAGUGCAGGACUAUAGACCUAUCGGCUUGAUACAUAGCUUCCCCAAGCUUGCUGCCAAGGUGCUCGCGGCACGGGUCACUAGCGAUAUGCCGUGAUUGGUUGGCACUCACCAGAGUGCGUUCAUAAGAGGAAGAUGCCUACAUGACAACUACACGAUGGUGCAGUGUACAGCAAAAAGGUUGCAUGCCUCCCUGACACCUUCUGUCAUGCUCAAGCUAGACAUUACCAAAGCAUUUGAUACUGUGGAUUGGGCGUUCCUAAUGGAAGUAAUGCAACAAUUUGGAUUUGGCCCAAAAUGGAUCGCAUGGGUGGCUGGCCUCCUUGCCUCCUCCUCAACCAGAGUUCUACUCAAUGGAAUCCUCGAGGAAAUUAUUUACAACCGGCAAGGUCUGCGGCAGGGAGAUCCUAUGUCUCCCCUACCGUUUGUUAUGGUCAUGGAAGGUCUGCACCACUUGCUCCAGCACGCGGCAAUUGAUGGUGUGAUGGCACCUCUUACGCAUGCGGGAUUAUGACACAUGACCUCAAUUUAUGCGGAUGAUGUUGUAAUUUGGUAUACCCAUUCGCUUGCAUGACUAAUGUUCACGAGGAGGACAUGAUAUAGGUGCUUGGCGAGAGGGCAUAGCAAAGACACAUCGCCCGUGAACGGAGAAUCUUUCUGUUUCAUGAUGCGAUGGUGGCUAUUGGUUUGUUUGACUUUUGAGUCAACAUUUGUUUUCUAGAUAUGUCCAAUAUUUUUCUUAAAAAAGUUAAAAUUAGUAAAUGCAAAUUUCAGAAUCCUCCAUACCAUUUUCCUGAUUUAUGUAAGGCAUCAUGGGACCACAUUGUUUAUUUUGUUCGCGGUUACUUGGAGUAAAGCAACGGGCAAAAUGAGAAGUGCUUUUACUUGCUUUUACAAGUACAACCGUUCCAGAUGGCGUCGAAGCACAUUGUUGUUGAGAAUAUUCCCUCAGAGGAAACACAUAUGGCCUCACCUUACCAAAGACAAAGCACUAGAAGAGGGCGAGAUCCAUUGAGAGCAACUAAGAAAUGGAUCUUAAUGCACUCAAAACCGAUGUGCCCCAUCAUGAACCGAGGGACCUGGUGACCGAAGUUCAUAACCCUAUCGCCUUAAAAAAUGCUACGACUAGGAGGCAUGCCUAGUGGACUAUGUAGAGUUGAAGAACAAGUCCUAGGCUGCAGGAUUAGCUGAGGAAUGGUCGUUUUUCUCCCGAUGUCUCCAAUUCCCUUGUAUUCCCCGUACACUCUUAGGUUAUCACCUGUUUGAUGUGCUAGCAUUGCCAACUAGAAGAUGCGAUGGUUAAUGUCCGAGAUUGCUGAAAAUUGAGUAGUAUAUAUAGCUAGAAAAUAUUAUUCGCUCGAAUAAAUGUUGGUGGAGUAUUUAUGUUAUUCACGUGGUGAAUGUCCAAGAGUACAGCCUCACUUCAUGUGUUGGUACUGACACCUGUUGUCUACUUUUUUGUGGAUACAUAUUAUUAACCCAAAUGAUCCGAUGGUGAAACCUCUAUCUUGUACUACUAGAGUACCGCGUAUUUUGCCUCCUUGCCAUUGUGGCUUGAGGGUUCGACUAUGUGAGUUGUGUCGUUGUAGUCGUGGUGUGUGUCCUGUGUGCCGAAAGGUGUUGUAUCCACCGCUUGGCUCUUCUUCUAUGCUAUUGAUGCACCUUUCCAUGGUGUAUCCUUGAAAAAAAGGCACCGUGUGUCUCCAUGUAGCUUUUCUCCAAACUAUCUUUAUGUGAUGAUCCUAUAUUAGUACUAUCAAUCUACCAAGUCAGACAGUACCUUUUGUGAGAACUGUAUAUUUAUAUACGUACCUUCUCCUUUCGUUCCAAAUUACUUGUCGUGGUUUCAGUACAAAUUUGAACUAAAACCACGACGAGUAAUUUGGAACAGAGGGAGUACAAUAUAAGAUUGUUUUUAUGCUAUGUUAGCUUGAAAAAUGAUCUUAUAUUGUGAGACUGCGGGAGUAUAGAUUAGCCAUCAUUCAUGAGGAGAACAAGAAAUGUCAAAGAAAAGAAAACAAUAUCCACGCGAAACUCGAACUAGAGGAGACACGUCUCAUGGAUGCAGUAUGGGAAGAGCGUGGGAACGUAAAGUAACCAAGAUUUGGAAAAUCGAGAGCUCCGCUAGCACCUUAAGUGAGCCUAAUUGCUCUGCCGGCUUUGGCAGUGCUACUGAACAAGAUGAAGGUAUAUAGUGAAACCUAUACGUUGUAAUGGCCUCGUUCAUCCCUGUGGCUGCGGUCCUCGUCGCGCUGUUGUCCCUCCUGCUAGCAGCUUCCCAUGCAGAUACCGUCGGCAAUCGUACGACCUCCGUGACAACCGUAGAAUUGUAGUAGUGAGAAGAAGAUCAGCAGGUAUCCUAACUGCAUUUCUGUUGAGCUAGACACAAUGAGUAGCACCGAUGUUGUCGUCUCUUGCUUGGGGCAGUACCGGACUAGGCAUACUCACAAGACCUUAGUGAGCUGGGCAUGCCAACAUACGACAUGACACAUCUGGAGGAAGAAUUCACAGAGGCAGAAAUCUGAGACGCGGUUCGCGCGCAAGAUUUUAACAAAGCACCGGGUCUAGAUGGGUUCUCGGCGCAUUUUUACGUCAUAUGUUGGCCAAUCAUCAAAGAUGACGUCUUGGAGGCUUUCCAGUCCUUUGGAAACUUGGAUUUUUGUGGGAUGACUUCUAUCAAUCAGGCAUUCAUCACUCGGUUGCCAAAAUCAGCCGAUGCACUUGAAGUGCAGGACUAUAGACCUAUCGGCUUGAUACAUAGCUUCCCCAAGCUUGCUGCCAAGGUGCUCGCGGCACGGGUCACUAGCGAUAUGCCGUGAUUGGUUGGAGCUCACCAGAGUGCGUUCAUAAGAGGAAGAUGCCUACAUGACAACUACACGAUGGUGCAGUGUACAGCAAAAAGGUUGCAUGCCUCCUUGACACCUUCUGUCAUGCUCAAGCUAGACAUUACCAAAGCAUUUGAUACUGUGGAUUGGGCGUUCCUAAUGGAAGUAAUGCAACAAUUUGGAUUUGGCCCAAAAUGGAUCGCAUGGGUGGCUGGCCUCCUUGCCUCCUCCUCAACCAGAGUUCUACUCAAUGGAAUCCUCGAGGAAAUUAUUUACAACCGGCAAGGUCUGCGGCAGGGAGAUCCUAUGUCUCCCCUACCGUUUGUUAUGGUCAUGGAAGGUCUGCACCACUUGCUCCAGCACGCGGCAAUUGAUGGCGUGAUGGCACCUCUUACGCAUGCGGGAUUACGACACAUGACCUCAAUUUAUGCGGAUGAUGUUGUCACCUUUAUCAGACCAGACCUCCAGAGCCUUAGGGCGUGUGCUGCGCUACUGGAAGAUUUUGGCAUGGCGUCGGGGCUUCGCACGAACAUGGCCAAGUGCUCUGCGCACCCUAUUCGCUGUUCAGAUGAACAAGUGCAGCCGAUUGCGGAUGAGCUGGGAUGCCAAGUCGCUAGGUGGCCAUGCCGCUACCUGGGACUACCACUGGGUUUGCGCAAAAUAUCAGCAUCACAAUUGGAGUAUCUAGUGGAUAGAAUGGCUGAUCGACUUCCUGCGUUGCAAGCAAGACUCCUAUUCAGGGCUGGGCAGUUGGAGCUGCUGAAGACCACGCCGGCCUCCAUGCCCAUUCACGCGAUGGCGACGCUUGAUCUACCGGUCAAAACAAUUGAAGCGGCAAAUAAGAUAUGCCGUGUGUUUUUCUGGAAGGGGCACCGCGAGGUGCACGGUGGCCAUUGUAUGGUCGCAUGGCACCAAGUCUGCACACCGAAGGAGUAUGGUGGUCUCGGCAUACCGAACUUGCGCCUCCUCAACACAGCGCUUAGAGCGCGAUGGCCUUGGCUGAUGAGAACUGAGCAUGAUCGGCCAUGGAGUGAGUUCAACUUGCAAGUAUCUCCAGACUCCCUAAGCAUAUACAAGGUGGCGACCAAGUGUAAUCUAGGAAAUGGUGAGGUGGCACUGUUCUGGACGGAUUGGUGGCUAGAGGAGGGACGAAUCCAAGAUCGAUCUCAUGCCAAGGCUAUUCGCGGUUGUUAAGAGAAGGGCACGAAAACAAACGGUGAGGCAAGACGUAGUUGACGGAUGGUGGCAGGAUGUGUCGCCAAACAUGGGCCCUCAGGAGCUGAGCGAAUUUUUGCAGCUCGUGGACAGAACUUGACACAUUCGGCUGCUGAACAUUGAAGAUAAACUGGUUUGGGCUUCGGAGAAUAAUGGCCGCUACUCGGCGAGAUCGGCUUACCGAGUGUUCUUUGCUGGGAGAGUAGAGGCUAAUGGAGCAUCACAAAUUUGGUGGUCAAGGGCGCCGGCGACCUGCAAGUUCUUCACAUGGUUGGCAGCAAGGGAGAGGUGCUGGACGGCCGAUAGGCUUGCGCACCGACACCUACCACACCCGACAGCCUGCCCCUUCUGUGAUCAAUCCCCUGAGACGAUCAACCACAUCCUUUUUGGAUGUGUGUUCGCUAGACAAGUGUGGUUCUCCAUCCUUGACCACUGGGAUAAGCUAGCUUGGCUACCUACUGCAGACACCAACUUGGUAGAAUGGUGGACCUCUGUAAAUCCACAAAAGCUGCAAGUGCAGAGGGGAAUUUCGCAAGCUAGGAGGAAUAGAAAAUCCUAACUAAGAAACAAUCAAUCAGUCCACUAAGUCUGUUAAGUAAGAGUUAUACGAAAUACUCUGAUUCAAUGUACGAGUGACUCAAUCCCAAAAGGAAAAUCCGGCCAGCCGAUUUUCAACAACAAAGGAGUUCACAGUGGAAAGAUAAAGUCUGAUGACAGACACUUGUAAUUCUCUCACUGGGCCAGCCACUAGAAUCAGUCACCAAAGCUUAGGAAGGAGACAUGGACUGUAAUCGCGCUAGUUGCAUGGCUGCUAUGGAAGCACAUAAAUGAUAUGAUGUUCAACGGAAGGAUCCCUUCCACAAGUGAGCUUCUUAGGAGGAUCGGCUUAGAAGGGCAAGACUGGAGGGCCGCUGGGCUGUUGCGUGAAGAGAGGUCACUUCCGGAUAGUCUAGAUGGGUGGGCUAGUAGUGAGUAAUCCGCAUGUCCAGGAUUGGCUAUGAUAGCCGUGGAUAAGUUGUAAAAUUAUAUGCCUUUCUAGGCUCUCUUGAUCUUUGAACCUGAUACGUCAACCUUUGACGUAUCCUUGAAAAAAAUGUUGUCAUCUCUCAGUUUUACGCUGAUGCGCCUGCUCCAUCAGAGAAAUCAUGCUAUAGGUCCCGGCAAGAGAGGGCCGCAUCCUCCCUUCCCAAAGCUCCAAACCGUCCCGGAGACCAUGUCGAUUGAUAUCUGCACUCAAGAAUGUAUCUACUUUUUUUUGUUGAGAUUGAGCUUCACGCCUUUAAAAUGAGCUCUUCACGGUGAAGCUCAAAUGGACCGUUCUCGGGUACUCUGUGGUUCAUUUCGUAUUAUGUGCAUACUCUGCAGUGAGCAGCUCACCAGCCAAACAGAAAAUUCAGCAUGCGCCGAUCACUAAAAUGUUUACAGGCAAACCAGGAAAUACAUCGUCAGAGAAUAGUCACAUCCUCCCUCUGUCCAUAUUUAUAUGGCGCCGUCGUUUUUCUACUUAUAUAGGUUUCAUGGUGAUUGGAAAAAUCAAAAGCCGUCAAUCGAAAGGAAUCGAACGUUGAAAAAAUAGGAGGUACCAAAAUAGCAGUACCGAAAAGCACCAAAUAGAUAAGGCCAAUAUUAAAAAACAUGGGACCAGUAGCCGUAUUUUAUUUUAUUUUAGUUUAUUUAUUCAUAAGGGUAGAUAUGUAAUUUCAUAAUUGUGGACAUGAUCACAUCUUCAUGUUAUCCAUCAAACCUCCUUAACACGAAGAAGCACAUUUCGGAAGUUGUCCUAUGGACCACCCCUGCUCUUCAAUGAUGCAUCAAACAUCUUGUUAUCCAUGGGGUGCUUUAACAUGAAGCAACACAUUUUUAAAGGGGGCCACCUCUGCUCUUCAAUACUGCAUUGGCUAUUGUACAAAUGUACCACCAAGAAAAUAAGUGAUGUCCAUGGGGUUCCACAUGGCAAAACUAGCCCUCAAACUAAAGAAGCACACAAUAAAGGAAAAUCACGACAUGAAAACCUUACCAUUCAAUGACCCCAUGAGGAUUUAAGUUUACAUCGCCCAUGGACUUCAAAAGGCACACGUGACCCUCUUUCAUCACAAUACUGAUCACGCACAAACACAAGAACUAGACGACACUCCCUCUCCUGCAACCAUCAUCUAUCAAUGGAAAGCUCUCGGUCUCCCGGGAGUUCAAGACUUAGACCAGUUCCCAACCAAUUUGAUUUGAUAUGUUGCUAUUGUGACGCUGAUUACCUAAGCAUUCUAGUUGGUCUCAAUAUUUGAGGAUCUAUUUGAUCGCUUGUUCACCUAAUUUCCAGGUUUCCUUAAUCAUUGGUGUCUUGUUUGAUGGUGGUCUUGAAUCUUGAACCAUUUGUUUGAGUUUUGUUUUGUUGGUGGCAAGGCUAUCUCAUAUCAGCAAGUUCAACCGAGAUGCAAGAUUGCUCGAGAGUUAUUGGAAUCAAUACUCGAGUAGAACUAGGUGUUGGAGGCAUCCAGAAAGAUUUACGAGCGGAAUAUCAGUGAUCAUCUUGCACGAUCCUAAAAACAAGUAGUUUGUAACCAACCGUUGUAAGAACUAUUAAGUUUCAUGCACAACCAAUAGAGCCAAAGUCUGAGCUAAUGAAAAAGAUUGGGGAAUCCAUAUGUACUUCAACAAGAGCCAAGUCAAGGGUCGGAGGAUCUUAGUCUAAAAUAGGUUUAUAAUAAUGUUAAUAGCAUUACUAUAUCCAAAUUAACAUUGCAAAAAGGUUUAUGAUAUUUCAGUUAGUGUAACUAACACCUAUUUCAUUAUGCAAUAGCAUAAUUUGAAAAUUCCUUAACUAUUAUGACAAUGCGAAAAAUGUCUUCAAAUAAUUUUGAUCAAGUCAUUAAAAAACUUAAGGUUACUAACACCACAGUGGAUUUUGCAUGUGUUUCCAACAAUACCAGAAAACGCACCCAUGCUCAGGAGCAUCGAGGAAAGAGAAAACUGAGCGGGGUGGAAUGAAAAUAAAAAUGAGGUAGCGUGGCACUAGCAUGCAUGGAGAUCACGAUUGUGGAAGUAUUUGCCGGUAGACAUAUCACUGAAAGCUACAUGUUCCUUCAGACAACUAUAAACAACUUUCUAGUUGUGAUCUUGUGCUAGUUUUUACCUCAUUUUUUUGAAAUUGCACAAUUUACCUAUUAGUUGACAAUGCUAUGAUUUCCCCCUAUUUAUAUCAUUGUUCCCCAACUAACAAGCCCGGGCUCUAUGUCAAGAUUGACGAACUGGGGGAGUAUCCAGCAUGGCACGAGCGAAAUACAGGACAACUAGCACUAGUGGAAAAAGUGCUAGCCACAACUUUCGUUAGUGGCGCAGCAUUUUCCAUCCGCGCCAGCACUAUUUUUUUUCAAAUAGUGCUGGUGUAGGCCAAAUCCGUAUGCCAGCUUUACAAGUAUAGUGCCGGCGUUCAUUGUUUUGUAAACGCCACAAAUCUAUUGGCCCAUAUACACUCACCGUUUGGAAAUCACUGGUGACGUUGGUUUUCUUUACAUGCCAUAGUUAUUUUGUUAGUGCUGGCGUUAUUUUUCUUUGCACGCCAUAGUAUAUAAUUAUAUUAUGCUUAUUUUGCCAUCAUUUUAUUUGGCCUGUGAUUAGCUAUGGCGUUGCCAUUUUUUCCAAUGCCAGCAAUGACCUAGUAAAAUACCCAAGUCCACCGCUCACUCUCAUUUCACACCCCACCCGGCCCGGUCGUAGCUAGCUGGACACAAACUCUCAUUGGACCAAAGUCGACGCCGCCGCCCCCCUUGCCGCUGCCAUGGUUAGAUCCACUCCUCCAUUGACGGAUCUGAGCAAGUUUAGUAGAAAUUAUGUAUAGGUUGACUGGUAUAUGUAAAUCAAAUUGUUUUUUCAAAUUGUUAAAAUUGUAGAUCAGGGUUCCAUUGUUUACUCCCAUAAAAGAACAUAAUUUUCUUUGUUUACUUGACAAGUUGACAUGCCUCUGUAUAGAUCAGUUAGGUUGUAGAAUUUGUGUAAGUGUAUUAGAUCACUUGCCAUACAUUGAUUGGAAUUAUUAUCAACUUGCUUGUUAUUAUUGUUAUGUUUGGUUCUUGUCAGCACUAAGAAAAAUUCUUGUUUGACAUUGUGAUGCCAUCUAUAUAUAUUUUUGUAGUGAUUGACAGAAGUUAUUCAGAAGUUAUUUUUAUAUAUGAUAGUAUGUGUAUGUAUAGAAGUCAGUUUGCUAUAUCUUAUUUAUCAAAAUAGAUUCAUAAUUUUAUCUAUUCUACUUAAUUAACAAAAUCAUAUCUUUCCAACACAUGAACUAUUUUACAUUGCAUAUUAUCUUGAUCGUAUAUAUACGCGAUGUGUUUGUAGAUCAUGGCCAAUUUUGGAGGCAAUAACGUUAAUGAGUCGGUGUGCGAUGUGGACAUGGCCAACAAUGAAUCCUUAAACACUUUUGAGUAUGUCAUCAAGAGCGUGCAAGGGCCAAAUGACGAUCUAAAGGGGCAGAUUAAAGAGCUACGCAAGGACGUUGUUCGGCUCGUUCAGGAGACUAAUAAGCUUAGAGACGAGAGGGAUAAGCUCGUCGAGGAUCGGGAUAAACUGAAGGAGGAUAGGAGACGCCUCAGGGGUGAGAGGAUUGACCUGAAGAUGGACCUAGAUCAUUUCAGAAGAGAAGGAGAGGCGGAUAGAAAGAAGUUAAUGCAGCUGGGCAUAAUCGUUGCUGAAGAUUAGUUUUUUUAAGUAGCUAGCUAGCUCAUCUUAUUAGUUCAUGAUGAUCCAUUAACUAGAGUACUUGAGUGAACUUAUGUGAAGUUUAAUAUCAACUUGUUGAGUUCAUGAGCCUCUUUAUGUAAUGAUUAUCUAUUAAAUAAGUACCUAGUGUUGAUGAGUAUAUUGUGUUCAGUAGUAUCUAUUAAGUAAGUAGCUAGCUAGUGUUGAUGAGUAAUUUUUUUAUUACAAAAAAACUAUUUGCUGGCGUUGGACGAGCAGGCACGCCAGAGUUAUGAUGGACUUAGUGCUAAUGCUGGAUAGGUGUUACGUCAGCACGAUGUAUGAUACUGCUGACGUGUCCUCCAACGCCGCCACUACAUUUUAGCAAUGGCGUCAUAUUAGUGGCGUCAUAUGUCUACGCUAGCAAGGCCGUUUUUGACACGCCAUAGUUAGACUUUUUUCACUAGUGUAGCCGGGCCUAUUUGGGACAAUUGCCAAUUUAAUAGAGUGAGAUGAAAUUCGAGGGAAUUCAACAUAUUUUUUGUAUGCUCGUGACAAACACACGUCUGAGUUGUCUGCCAAUCAUCAGGUGACACAAAAUCCUAACAGGUAGGUAUAGUUUCUCAGUUUGAGAAAUAUAUAAUAAAGAGAUAUAAAAGCUGCCGUGUGUCAAAGAUAUAAAAGCUGUCAUAGAAUCAUGACCGGGGUAAGAAGUGAAUUAUACUCGCGGAUUAAUGCCCUCAUAUAUGUUUCUCCCUCCCGAUCAAUUGAUUCAAAAUCAUAUGAAGUCUCCAUCCACCUCCAAGGCAGGAUCACGGCAGCCAUCUCUGGAUUUAUGUAUGCUGAUACGCCUGCCCAUUAGAUAAAUUUCCAAGCCGUGGGUAUAAAAAUGGGCGACACUGACGACAACAACCAUUUUGUAGUGUAGCAACGUGUUACAGAUCAGGGACCGAAUGGCUGCAUCCUCCCUUCCAAAGCACCUCACAAAGGUGAAAUAUUUUUCCGCUUACCGUUGCUCGUUGUAAGUAGGUACUCGAGCUGGAAGGUUCGUCCGAGAACCAUGUUGGCAGGCACUCACAAACACACACAGACAUAUUAGUGGUAACACUGAGAAGGUCACUUGUUCAGUUCAGAGUUUAAGCAACUUGCACCGGCAGAUUAAUCAAUUAAAUCAAAUGCUUAAUGCGUCCCUAUGUUCCUCCCACCUUCAAUUGAAUCAAGAAUCACAUGAAUCGCCAGGCACCAAAUACUGAGCAAAUUCCAACCACCAACACACUAGUUAUCACUCGUAAACCGUAACAGUGUUCGUACUGAAACAUAGAUUCAUAGACUAUGAUUCGUGUUGUACUUAAAAUGCCAUGACUGUGCAUGGAUUGAUGUAGAGCCGGGGAGGCCACUUGUCAUCAUGGAUUCGUAGUGUGGAGGGUUAUAGAUCUAAUUUAGAGCAACUCUAGCAGAGUCAUCGUAUUGACAGCCUCCAUAUCCUAUAUUCGCAGCCUCCAUCGCCACACGGAAUUACAGGUAACUACCAUAUGGACAGCGCUUCAAAAGGUAUCCUCGAGACGCCAUAUAUGGCGACUGUGAGGAGGGUGCUCCAUAUAUACUAUGACAAUCCCUUACAAGAUGAAGACUCUGCUAGAGUGCUUUUUUUGGUCAAAAUCGUUAAUGGCGGUUUUUAUGGCGAUUGGACAAAUAUGACGACUCUGCUAGAGUAUCUCUUACCUUUCGUUUCAGUUGGCCAUAGUUUUUGAGUUCAAAGAUGAAAAGUCAGAAUACAACAAAUGUUUGUUUGGAAUUGCUACACAAUGUUACGAGAGACUUAAUUUACCGAUAUAUGUCAGUAGUGACAUUAUCUCUUUCGUUCCCCCACGUCUAUCUUGGCUCCUCCCCUAAUGGGAGAAGUAUGGUGCAUCUAGCCGCACCUAUUUGGGAUAACUUGAUAAUUUGUUGAAAUUCGAGGGGAUUUGACAUGCUUCUAUAUACUGGUAAUUUGAGGGGAUUUGAAAUAUGUACAAGUAGGAUGUUCUCAGUAAAAAACAUUACAAUUUUUCAAGUGUCACCACUAUGGGGGGAAAUGUGGCAAGAUCAUUUAUUUUAGCCCGGCAAGAUAUUAUGAAUGAUGUAAAAACUGUCACAAAGUCACGGCUGAAGAAAAAGGUAAAAUAUACUACAAAACUAGAUGAAUCCCCGCGCGUUGCUGCGUGAUAUGUUGUGCUAAAAUUUCUAAUGUGGAGAGAUACGCUGUGUAAAGAAAAAUAGUGACUUGCAUGUGCGUCAAAGCAUUUCUAUUUUUGUGGGGAAAGCAUAUCUUUCAAAUGAGUGUUAAUGCAAAGGAUUGAAAUGAUGAGUUAAUACAAAAAAAAUACAAAAC